rnacentral:rRNA from 1 species
AUACGGAGGGUCCGAGCGUUAUCCGGAAUCAUUGGGCUUAAAGGGUCCGUAGGCGGGAAUCUAAGUCAGUGGUGAAAUCUUGCAGCUCAACUGUAAAAUUGCCAUUGAUACUGGAUUUCUUGAAUUAGUGUGAAGUGGUUAGAAUGUGUAGUGUAGCGGUGAAAUGCAUAGAUAUUACACAGAAUACCAAUUGCGAAGGCAGAUCACUAACACUAUAUUGACGCUAAGGGACGAAAGCGUGGGGAGCGAACAGGAUUAGAAACCCGAGUAGUCC